rnacentral:rRNA from 1 species
UUGAACGCUGGCGGCAGGCCUAACACAUGCAAGUCGAGCGGAUGAAGGGAGCUUGCUCCUGGAUUCAGCGGCGGACGGGUGAGUAAUGCCUAGGAAUCUGCCUGGUGGUGGGGGAUAACGUCCGGAAACGGGCGCUAAUACCGCAUACGUCCUGAGGGAGAAAGUGGGGGAUCUUCGGACCUCACGCUAUCAGAUGAGCCUAGGUCGGAUUAGCUAGUUGGUGGGGUAAAGGCCUACCAAGGCGACGAUCCGUAACUGGUCUGAGAGGAUGAUCAGUCACACUGGAACUGAGACACGGUCCAGACCCCUACGGGAGGCAGCAGUGGGGAAUAUUGGACAAUGGGCGAAAGCCUGAUCCAGCCAUGCCGCGUGUGUGAAGAAGGUCUUCGGAUUGUAAAGCACUUUAAGUUGGGAGGAAGGGCAGUAAGUUAAUACCUUGCUGUUUUGACGUUACCAACAGAAUAAGCACCGGCUAACUUCGUG